GAUGAACGCUGGCGGCGUGCCUAAUACAUGCAAGUCGAGCGAAUGGAUUAAGAGCUUGCUCUUAUGAAGUUAGCGGCGGACGGGUGAGUAACACGUGGGUAACCUGCCCAUAAGACUGGGAUAACUCCGGGAAACCGGGGCUAAUACCGGAUAACAUUUUGAACCGCAUGGUUCGAAAUUGAAAGGCGGCUUCGGGUGUCACUUAUGGAUGGACCCGCGUCGCAUUACCUAGUUGGUGAGGUAACGGCUCACCAAGGCAACGAUGCGUAGCCGACCUGAGAGGGUGAUCGGCCACACUGGGACUGAGACACGGCCCAGACUCCUACGGGAGGCAGCAGUAGGGAAUCUUCCGCAAUGGACGAAAGUCUGACGGAGCAACGCCGCGUGAGUGAUGAAGGCUUUCGGGUCGUAAAACUCUGUUGUUAGGGAAGAACAAGUGCUAGUUGAAUAAGCUGGCACCUUGACGGUACCUAACCAGAAAGCCACGGCUAACUACGUGCCAGCAGCCGCCGUAA
rnacentral:rRNA from 1 species